UAAAUGCUUGGGAAGUCUGGCUUAUGGAGGGGGAUAACUACGGGAAACGUGUAGCUAAUACCGCGUAGUAUCGAGAGAUUAAAGUGUGGGACCUUCGGGCCACAUGCCAUAGGAUGAGCCCAAGUGGGAUUAGGUAGUUGGUGAGGUAAAGGCUCACCAAGCCGACGAUCUCUAGCUGGUCUGAGAGGAUGACCAGCCACACUGGGACUGAGACACGGCCCAG
rnacentral:rRNA from 1 species